rnacentral:rRNA from 1 species
GCUAUCAUGCAGUCGACGAACUCUGGUAUUGAUUGGUGCUUGCAUCAUGAUUUACAUUUGAGUGAGUGGCGAACUGGUGAGUAACACGUGGGAAACCUGCCCAGAAGCGGGGGAUAACACCUGGAAACAGAUGCUAAUACCGCAUAACAACUUGGACCGCAUGGUCCGAGCUUGAAAGAUGGCUUCGGCUAUCACUUUUGGAUGGUCCCGCGGCGUAUUAGCUAGAUGGUGGGGUAACGGCUCACCAUGGCAAUGAUACGUAGCCGACCUGAGAGGGUAAUCGGCCACAUUGGGACUGAGACACGGCCCAAACUCCUACGGGAGGCAGCAGUAGGGAAUCUUCCACAAUGGACGAAAGUCUGAUGGAGCAACGCCGCGUGAGUGAAGAAGGGUUUCGGCUCGUAAAACUCUGUUGUUAAAGAAGAACAUAUCUGAGAGUAACUGUUCAGGUAUUGACGGUAUUUAACCAGAAAGCCACGGCUAACUACGUGCCAGCAGCCGCGGUAAUACGUAGGUGGCAAGCGUUGUCCGGAUUUAUUGGGCGUAAAGCGAGCGCAGGCGGUUUUUUAAGUCUGAUGUGAAAGCCUUCGGCUCAACCGAAGAAGUGCAUCGGAAACUGGGAAACUUGAGUGCAGAAGAGGACAGUGGAACUCCAUGUGUAGCGGUGAAAUGCGUAGAUAUAUGGAAGAACACCAGUGGCGAAGGCGGCUGUCUGGUCUGUAACUGACGCUGAGGCUCGAAAGUAUGGGUAGCAAACAGGAUUAGAUACCCUGGUAGUCCAUACCGUAAACGAUGAAUGCUAAGUGUUGGAGGGUUUCCGCCCUUCAGUGCUGCAGCUAACGCAUUAAGCAUUCCGCCUGGGGAGUACGGCCGCAAGGCUGAAACUCAAAGGAAUUGACGGGGGCCCGCACAAGCGGUGGAGCAUGUGGUUUAAUUCGAAGCUACGCGAAGAACCUUACCAGGUCUUGACAUACUAUGCAAAUCUAAGAGAUUAGACGUUCCCUUCGGGGACAUGGAUACAGGUGGUGCAUGGUUGUCGUCAGCUCGUGUCGUGAGAUGUUGGGUUAAGUCCCGCAACGAGCGCAACCCUUAUUAUCAGUUGCCAGCAUUAAGUUGGGCACUCUGGUGAGACUGCCGGUGACAAACCGGAGGAAGGUGGGGAUGACGUCAAAUCAUCAUGCCCCUUAUGACCUGGGCUACACACGUGCUACAAUGGAUGGUACAACGAGUUGCGAACUCGCGAGAGUAAGCUAAUCUCUUAAAGCCAUUCUCAGUUCGGAUUGUAGGCUGCAACUCGCCUACAUGAAGUCGGAAUCGCUAGUAAUCGCGGAUCAGCAUGCCGCGGUGAAUACGUUCCCGGGCCUUGUACACACCGCCCGUCACACCAUGAGAGUUUGUAACACCCAAAGUCGGUGGGGUAACCUUU